AAAUUGAAGAGUUUGAUCAUGGCUCAGAUUGAACGCUGGCGGCAGGCCUAACACAUGCAAGUCGAACGGUAACAGGAAGCAGCUUGCUGCUUCGCUGACGAGUGGCGGACGGGUGAGUAAUGUCUGGGAAACUGCCUGAUGGAGGGGGAUAACUACUGGAAACGGUGGCUAAUACCGCAUAACGUCGCAAGACCAAAGAGGGGGACCUUCGGGCCUCUUGCCAUCAGAUGUGCCCAGAUGGGAUUAGCUAGUUGGUGAGGUAACGGCUCACCAAGGCGACGAUCCCUAGCUGGUCUGAGAGGAUGACCAGCCACACUGGAACUGAGACACGGUCCAGACUCCUACGGGAGGCAGCAGUGGGGAAUAUUGCACAAUGGGCGCAAGCCUGAUGCAGCCAUGCCGCGUGUAUGAAGAAGGCCUUCGGGUUGUAAAGUACUUUCAGCGGGGAGGAAGGUGUUGUGGUUAAUAAC
rnacentral:rRNA from 1 species